rnacentral:tRNA from 1 species
UUCGUUGUAGCUCAGUGGCAGAGCGUACCGGUAAAAACGGGAAGGGCGUGAGUUCAAUUCUCAUCAGCGAGG